rnacentral:rRNA from 1 species
UACGUAGGUGGCAAGCGUUGUCCGGAAUCAUUGGGCGUAAAGCGCACGUAGGCGGCCUGUUAAGUCGGAUGUGAAAGCCCCGGGCUCAACCCGGGAAGUGCAUUCGAAACUGGCGGGCUUGAAUAUGGAAGAGGGUCGCGGAAUUCCCGGUGUAGAGGUGAAAUUCGUAGAUAUCGGGAGGAACACCAGUGGCGAAGGCGGCGACCUGGGCCAAUAUUGACGCUGAGGUGCGAAAGCGUGGGGAGCAAACAGG